UAGGGAAUCUUCCACAAUGGGCGCAAGCCUGAUGGAGCAACACCGCGUGAGUGAAGAAGGGUUUCGGCUCGUAAAGCUCUGUUGUUGGAGAAAGAACGUGCGUGAGAGUAACUGUUCACGCAGUGACGGUAUCCAACCAGAAAGUCACGGCUAACUACGUGCC
rnacentral:rRNA from 1 species